ensembl:lncRNA
AGUUUUGCCACUUUUGGAGCAGACUGUCUUCUGUGUUCUUUGCAGCAGUGUGAGGUUGUGCUAAUCAGUUCAGAACAGCUGGGGCAGUAAUAAGAGCUCUCACAGGCUAUAUUCCCUGGCAAUGGAUUGUCAUCCAGAAGAAACAGCCUGAAACCAAAGGCACAGUAUUAAUGUAUAACUGCUGUACAGACAGGAAUGGUAUACUGUUAUGUAUUCAGGGUGUUGAAAGUGUUCUUAAAGGUGUCAGGUUUUCAAUUUUAUAAUACUUUCUCCUAACUUAGUUUAAUGCAGGAAGAGCUGAGCGAAAGGAGUAUUGCCACAAGUAGCAAAGAUAUUACUUUAACCUCAAAGCUGUUCAGGCUGUGUACAUUUGACAAAUGUUAAUGUUCAGUUGACUUGACAACAUUAAGAAAGUUGUAGUCAUUCAUCAGAUGUGUUUAGAUGUCAAUUUGUGCCAUCUAUGGUCAAGAGAAAAAGUUAAUUAAAAUGUGUGUGUCUCUGGAAAAUUAAGGUUAAACCACUGAUGUCACAUGUACUAUUUUAACAAUGUCCUUACUACGUUUCUGCGCCUGGGAACAUUUCAGUUACAUUGCUGUCUAUGGAGGGUUUUGAUUUCAUCAAAAAUAUCUUCUUAAUUUGUGUUUCAAAGAUCUUACGGGUUUGGAAUGACAUGAGGGUGAGUAAUUAAUGACAAUCUUCCGGUGCUUCUUGUCCCUUGUUUUUUCCGUUGUGUGCUAUAACUAGCUACUAAAUAGCGCAGUAGCGUUGACAGUCCUAAAACAGUAUUUCAGGAAUCAUGUUGUGGGUCCUCAUCACUAUUUUGAGUCAGUUCUUUUCAAUGAAUCAAUUUGAAUUCGAACAGCUCACGCACACUCAUUCGCUUACAAUGUCUUUUCAAAUAUUAAAAACAUUAAUGGUAUAACUUUCAGUACUUCCGAACAAAGAAGUUCUUCAUCACAUUCAACACCCGCACAUGCAGCAAGCAAACGACUUUGGACUGGAGACCCUACAGAGCUUCUGAUCUGUUCCUGUGUCUGUGCAGCUGAGAGUUUCAAGCAGAUGAAAGACUGGAGUCCCUGUAAGUGCAUGAUUGCUUUGUCCUUGAACCCUGCGGUUGCAUGAUAUGUCCCAGAGGCUGUGAUCUCUGUGUAAUCCUCUCUAUAGGCACACAUCCUUGUGGAGUGUGGCCCAGCAAGCUGGGCAUUUUAUUGUUUUUGUAGUGCACAUCGCUUGUCUAAUGCCAGCAUGGUCAAAGAGCAAUUAUAUGACAGCCCUCCAGUUCUUCCUCCAGUUCUUCCUUCAGUUCUUCCUUCCUCAUUGUUUCUCUAGAGUGCAUUAAUGCACAUUUUAUAGACAUUUACACCUUGAUAUAACAGAUUUAUUUGAACAAAAACAGUUUGUUUUGAUAAUGCAUCAUUUUUAUGCCGUGUCAUGUUAGCAGAUUUUCCAAGAUAAAUGGGAUGUCGAUCUGUCUAGCAUGUAUGUGCAUCACAUACAGUUUGAAUGUUGGAUGCUGCUGUAUGUCACCAUGGAAACAUCCCAUGCUGUGAUUUUCCUUUUGUAUGAGGGCGUU